rnacentral:tRNA from 1 species
GGGGCCGUGGGGUAGCUUGGUUAUCCUGUGCGCUUGGGGGGCGUGCGACCCGGGUUCAAAUCCCGGCGGCCCCACCA